rnacentral:lncRNA from 1 species
CUUUGUUUGUAUGUGGUGCUGAGCACUCCAUUAACUUCUGUAUCCUGAGUUUUGUUUGAGUGGGAGCUGCAAAGCUUUUGAUUCAGGUAACAGAAAGAUACUUAUUAAGUUGGGAUGUCUAGUUAUUUGCAAUUUCAUGAAGUUUGAAGUGUGGUACAUGCUGCAAUCCAAAAGAAAGGUGUUAGGAUACUGGUUUUAUUUUUGUUUUCAUUUAGGAAAGCGGGGGCAGGAAUUUUAAUAGAUAAGUAAAAGUUAAUGCAAAGACACAAAAUAGCUGUGAAGAGGACUUUUCUUGCAAACAUGUACUACCAGCAGAUAGAACUAGAUAUCAUUCUGGCAUCUAAACAAUGAUGCUAGGUUACUUGCCUGAUUUGCUGGCAAUUAAGUAUGGGGUUAAAAAUAACAUCACUUAUCUGAUUGGCAAAAAUUCAAAAGCUUGACAAUACACUCUAUUGGCAAGGCUGUGGGGAAACAAACAAGUGCUGUCAUAUAUUGUUGGAAGGAAAACAAAAAGCUAUAACCGAUGAAGGGCAAUUUGGCAAUAUCUUAAUAAAUGUACAAUAUGCAUUUAACAUUUGACCUGGCAACCUCAUGUCUAGGAAUUUACCCUGAAGAUAUACCCCUACCAAUAUACAUAUUGAUAUUCAUAUGCAUAAAGUUGUUUGACUGCAACAGUUAUAAUUACAAAAUAUUAGAAACUGUAAAAAAUGUUCAAACAUAGGAAAUUGUUUCAAAAACUAUGGUAUGUUUUAUCAGUGAAACACUGAAUGAC